AUUGAACGCUGGCGGCAGGCCUAACACAUGCAAGUCGAACGGUAACAUUUCUAGCUUGCUAGAAGAUGACGAGUGGCGGACGGGUGAGUAAUGCUUGGGAACUUGCCUUUGCGAGGGGGAUAACAGUUGGAAACGACUGCUAAUACCGCAUAAUGUCUUCGGACCAAACGGGGCUUAGGCUCCGGCGCAAAGAGAGGCCCAAGUGAGAUUAGCUAGUUGGUAAGGUAAUGGCUUACCAAGGCGACGAUCUCUAGCUGUUCUGAGAGGAAGAUCAGCCACACUGGGACUGAGACACGGCCCAGACUCCUACGGGAGGCAGCAGUGGGGAAUAUUGCACAAUGGGGGGAACCCUGAUGCAGCCAUGCCGCGUGUGUGAAGAAGGCCUUCGGGUUGUAAAGCACUUUCAGUUGUGAGGAAAAGUUAGUAGUUAAUACCUGCUAGCCGUGACGUUAACAACAGAAGAAGCACCGGCUAACUCCGUGCCAGCAGCCGCGGUAAUACGGAGGGUGCGAGCGUUAAUCGGAAUUACUGGGCGUAAAGCGCACGCAGGCGGUUUGUUAAGCUAGAUGUGAAAGCCCCGGGCUCAACCUGGGAUGGUCAUUUAGAACUGGCAGACUAGAGUCUUGGAGAGGGGAGUGGAAUUCCAGGUG
rnacentral:rRNA from 1 species